rnacentral:rRNA from 1 species
UACGGGGGGGCAAGCGUUGUUCGGAAUUACUGGGCGUAAAGGGCUCGUAGGCGGCCAACUAAGUCAGACGUGAAAUCCCUCGGCUUAACCGGGGAACUGCAUCUGAUACUGGAUGGCUUGAGUUCGGGAGAGGGAUGCGGAAUUCCAGGUGUAGCGGUGAAAUGCGUAGAUAUCGAGAGGAACACCUGCGGCGAAGGCGGGUUGCUGGGCUGACACUGACGCUGAGGCGCGAAAGCGUGGGGAGCAAACAGG